rnacentral:misc_RNA from 1 species
AAUUCUCAACCCCUCUCGAUUAGCUUCGAUAGGGUGCUUGGAUACUGGGGGCUGCCGGAGACCUGGACGAAAGUCUGGGACUCGGGCUCUCCUGAAAUGAAUCGGCUUGCGGUCGACUUUCGACUUUGCAUGACAAGGCUUUUGGCGUGAUAAUGAUCGCCGUUCGCUGAAGUGCAUGAAUGAAUGGCGCCGUGCCUCUAAUGCGUCGACGCCUUUUUUGGCGUCUUCCUUAUUGAC